AGUUUGAUCCUGGCUCAGGACGAACGCUGGCGGCGCGCCUAACACAUGCAAGUCGAACGAGCGAGAGAGAGCUUGCUUUCUCGAGCGAGUGGCGAACGGGUGAGUAACGCGUGAGGAACCUGCCUCAAAGAGGGGGACAACAGUUGGAAACGACUGCUAAUACCGCAUAAGCCCACGACCUGGCAUCGGGUUGAGGGAAAAGGAGCAAUCCGCUUUGAGAUGGCCUCGCGUCCGAUUAGCUAGUUGGUGAGGUAACGGCCCACCAAGGCAACGAUCGGUAGCCGGACUGAGAGGUUGAACGGCCACAUUGGGACUGAGACACGGCCCAGACUCCUACGGGAGGCAGCAGUGGGGAAUAUUGCACAAUGGGGGAAACCCUGAUGCAGCGACGCCGCGUGGAGGAAGAAGGUCUUCGGAUUGUAAACUCCUGUUGUUGAGGAAGAUAAUGACGGUACUCAACAAGGAAGUGACGGCUAACUACGUGCCAGCAGCCGCGGUAAAACGUAGGUCACAAGCGUUGUCCGGAAUUACUGGGUGUAAAGGGAGCGCAGGCGGGAAGACAAGUUGGAAGUGAAAUCCAUGGGCUCAACCCAUGAACUGCUUUCAAAACUGUUUUUCUUGAGUAGUGCAGAGGUAGGCGGAAUUCCCGGUGUAGCGGUGGAAUGCGUAGAUAUCGGGAGGAACACCAGUGGCGAAAGGCGGCCUACUGGGCACCGACUGACGCUGAGGCUCGAAAGUGUGGGUAGCAAACAGGAUUAGAUACCCUGGUAGUCCACACUGUAAACGAUGAUUACUAGUGUUGGAGGAUUGACCCCUUCAGUGCCGCAGUUACACAUAAGUAAUCCACCUGGGGAGUACGACCGCAAGGUUGAAACUCAAAGGAAUUGACGGGGGCCCGCACAAGCAGUGGAGUAUGUGGUUUAAUUCGACGCAACGCGAAGAACCUUACCAAGUCUUGACAUCCUGCGACGCACAUAGAAAUAUGUGUUUCCUUCGGGACGCAGAGACAGGUGGUGCAUGGUUGUCGUCAGCUCGUGUCGUGAGAUGUUGGGUUAAGUCCCGCAACGAGCGCAACCCUUAUGGUCAGUUACUACGCAAGAGGACUCUGGCCAGACUGCCGUUGACAAAACGGAGGAAGGUGGGGAUGACGUCAAAUCAUCAUGCCCUUUAUGACUUGGGCUACACACGUACUACAAUGGCGUUAAACAAAGAGAAGCAAGACCGCGAGGUGGAGCAAAACUCAGAAACAACGUCCCAGUUCGGACUGCAGGCUGCAACUCGCCUGCACGAAGUCGGAAUUGCUAGUAAUCGCAGAUCAGCAUGCUGCGGUGAAUACGUUCCCGGGCCUUGCACACACCGCCCGUC
rnacentral:rRNA from 1 species